GUAACACGUAGUCAACAUGCCCAGGGGACGUGGAUAACCUCGGGAAACUGAGGAUAAACCGCGAUAAGUCACUACUUCUGGAAUGGGUAAUGACUCAAAUCUAUAUGGCCCCUGGAUUGGACUGCGGCCGAUCAGGCUGUUGGUGAGGUAAUGGCCCACCAAACCUGUAACCGGUACGGGCUCUGAGAGGAGGAGCCCGGAGAUGGGCACUGAGACAAGGGCCCAGGCCCUAUGGGGCGCAGCAGGCGCGAAACCUCUGCAAUAGGCGAAAGCCUGACAGGGUUACUCUGAGUGAUUUCCGUUAAGGAGAUCUUUUGGCACCUCUAAAAAUGGUGCAGAAUAAGGGGUGGGCAAGUCUGGUGUCAGCCGCCGCGGUAAUACCAGCACCCCGAGUGGUCGGGACGUUUAUUGGGCCUAAAGCAUCCGUAGCCGGUUCUACAAGUCUUCCGUUAAAUCCACCUGCUUAACAGAUGGGCUGCGGAAGAUACUAUGGAGCU
rnacentral:rRNA from 1 species